GCAGAAAGAAAGUUUCCUGAAUAAACUGCUUUGAGAAGAACUUCGUGGUGUCUCUCCUAUCUGCAGGACGGAGACGGAGACGACACCGGUGCCAUACAGACAGAAUCUCAAACUGUAGCUGAGAUUGGCUUGGCUUGGAACACGUGUGUAGUUCAUGCUGGCAUCAGACUUAUGGCAAUUCUCCUGCUUCAGCCUCCUACUCAGGAGCCUACCAGGGCGAGAUCACAACCACGGAGCCAGCGACUCUUCUAUGGAGAGCAGCUGUGCAGGCAGGGGGUGGAGCAGAAGAAGGCGAGCUGCUGUGACAUCAUCAAGAUGCUGCCUAGCCCUGGGUCUCUGCUCUUCUGAGGAAGCAGGAGACUGAGCCCUCUGACAAUGACUUGGUGAGUCACUCUGUUGUGUGGGUAACACAUUGGUCUUAAACUUAUGAGGAGGGGGCACUGGGUUUCUAGCUCGCAUUUCUAGCACUGUCAUGUAAUGAGGCUUCUUAGGAGUCUCACUCUGCAGUUCUGGAAAGUUCUCAGUGCUGGUGUUUUCUUCUGAGGGUUCAGUCUGGUCUGCAGUUGUGAUCUUUUGCAAUUUAGUGAUAAACAGACUGUCGACGCUGCUGGAAACCUCUUCCGCUUGACUUGAAUGCUGGGGGAGAUGUUCAUUAACUUCAGAUGGGGGAGCCUGGGCUGUGAUGCUGACAGAGGGGCUGGUACUCACUGUGCAGCCAGUCUCCAAAGUCUUCAUUGCCUUUGUGAGUGAGCUGUUUGGUCCCUGUGUUUCUGAGGUUGUUUUAGAUGAUUCAAUGUCUACUGACGAACAUUCAGAACUAAUGAUGAAGUAUCAAGCAUCAGGUCAGAAUUCUGGGCCUUGUCUAUGUCGGUGUCAACUCUUGUGGUUGCUUUAUUCCUUAGCUUACAGUCAACACUAACAGGAUGAAGUAGUUCAGUUCUCCUUCUGACCUCUUCACUUUCUGAAAUGGCAGCUCUCAGUUUGGCAGUGGUGUCUGAGAUCUUUUUACCUUUGUAGGGCAAUUUGCAAAUGAAUUUUUCUUUGCGCAAAAGUCUCUCCUGGCGCCUCAACCUCUCCCGCAGCUCUGCCAAACUCUGCUGCCCCACGUCCUCAGGAACUGGGGGCUCGAAGCCGCGGGGCAGGGAGCACAUUGUGCAUGGGCUGAGGCUGGCCCCGCAGGCAGGGUUCCCCAGCAGGGCCCAUGGAGGUCGCAGGCUCCAGGGCAGCGGCAACUCUGGAGCAUGUGCAGGAGUCGCCAUUUUCCCAGAAGAGCCGACAAAAUUGUUUAAAUUGAUAAGAAAUAUAUGUUGGUCCAUAAUCAGUUUUAAUUUUAGAAGGCGGUCCCAUAACAGCAGAAGUUUCCAAUAGAUGCUGUAUAACAUGAGCAGUGCGUACUCCUGGC
ensembl:lncRNA